rnacentral:rRNA from 1 species
AGUGGACGCUGGCGGUAGGCCUAACACAUGCAAGUCGAACGGCAGCACAGUAAGAGCUUGCUCUUACGGGUGGCGAGUGGCGGACGGGUGAGGAAUACAUCGGAAUCUACUUUUUCGUGGGGGAUAACGUAGGGAAACUUACGCUAAUACCGCAUACGACCUACCGGGGAAAGCAUGGGAUCUUCGGACCUUGCGCGAAUGAAUGAGCCGAUGUCGGAUUAGCUAGUUGGCGGGGUAAAGGCCCACCAAGGCGACGAUCCGUAGCUGGUCUGAGAGGAUGAUCAGCCCCACUGGAACUGAGACACGGUCCAGACUCCUACGGGAGGCAGCAGUGGGGAAUAUUGGACAAUGGGCGCAAGCCUGAUCCAGCCAUACCGCGUGGGUGAAGAAGGCCUUCGGGUUGUAAAGCCCUUUUGUUGGGAAAGAAAAGCAGCAGGUUAAUACCCCGCUGUUCUGACGGUACCCAAAGAAUAAGCACCGGCUAACUUCGUG